GUUGAAGAUGAAAUGUGUCUGGGAAAGAGCUGGGACUGUAGCACUCAGCCCAGUGGCUGAGUCUAGCCCAGUACAGGUCCAGAGGCCCUGUGAAAACCCCAGAAUAUCUAUAAAGUGGGCUUGGACAUUCUCAAGAGGAAGGUUUCAAGGCUGGAUGGGACUAUAAAUGCAGAUGAUGGUAAGCAGUUGGCUCUAGUAUUUCAAUUUGGAGUCCUAGAUUAAACAGGAUUCAUUUGAUAACAGAAAUGAAGGAUGAAAUACAAGAAGUACAAAUAUUUAACAUUCAGGAGAGAACACCAGGUUGAUACCAGUCACAUUUCCUGUCUGGACCUUCAUGCUGUAAAUCAUGGUUGUAUGAAAAAUGAUAGUUGCAGUGUCAGUGGUAAGUCUUGAGAUUGGGACAUUAUUGAUACACAAGAAUCUGAAAAUUCUGCUUUGUAAUU